rnacentral:ribozyme from 13 species
UUUUGUUAAACCCUUUCAUUUUUUCUCUUUCUUUUUCUUUCUUUCCCCAUUUCAAAAAACAAAAAAAAAG